UGGACCUACGGGGGGCAGCAGUGAGGAAUAUUGGUCAAUGGGCGGGAGCCUGAACCAGCCAAGUCGCGUGAAGGAAGAAGGUACUUAGUAUUGUAAACUUCUUUUGUCAAGGGACAAAAUCAGGCUCGAGAGCCUGACCGAGGGUACUUGAAGAAAAAGCAUCGGCUAACUCCGUGCCAGCAGCCGCGGUAAUACGGAGGAUGCGAGCGUUAUCCGGAUUUAUUGGGUUUAAAGGGUGCGUAGGCGGGCUGUUAAGUCAGCGGUAAAAGCCCGGGGCUCAACCCCGGCGAGCCGUUGAAACUGGC
rnacentral:rRNA from 1 species